ACAACAUGAUGGGAUACUUUCUAAUUAGAUCCUUAAGUCUCUCUUAGGUCUCAUAGAAUUUCUCACCAUCAACUUGCGAAAAGUUAGUGAUGGCUUGUUUGAUUUG